UACGUAGGGGGCAAGCGUUGUCCGGAAUCAUUGGGCGUAAAGGGCGCGUAGGCGGCCCAGUAAGUCCGCUGUAAAAGUCAAAGGCUCAACCUUUGAAUGCCGGUGGAAACUGCUGGGCUAGAGUCCGGAAGAGGCGAGUGGAAUUCCUGGUGUAGCGGUGGAAUGCGCAGAUAUCAGGAGGAACACCAAUAGCGAAGGCAGCUCGCUGGGACGGUACUGACGCUGAGGCGCGAAAGCGUGGGGAGCGAACAGG
rnacentral:rRNA from 1 species